rnacentral:rRNA from 1 species
UACGGAGGGUGCAAGCGUUAUUCGGAAUUACUGGGCGUAAAGCGUGCGUAGGUGGUGAGUUAAGUCUGAUGUGAAAUCCCCGGGCUCAACCUGGGAAUGGCAUUGGAUACUGGCUCGCUAGAGUGCGGUAGAGGGUGGUGGAAUUCCCGGUGUAGCAGUGAAAUGCGUAGAGAUCGGGAGGAACAUCUGUGGCGAAGGCGGCCACCUGGACCAACACUGACACUGAGGCACGAAAGCGUGGGGAGCAAACAGG